rnacentral:rRNA from 1 species
AUUGAACGCUGGCGGCAGGCCUAACGCAUGCAAGUCGAGCGGAUGAAGGGAGCUUGCUCCUGGAUUCAGCGGCGGACGGGUGAGUAAUGCCUAGGAAUCUGCCUGGUAGUGGGGGAUAACGUCCGGAAACGGGCGCUAAUACCGCAUACGUCCUGAGGGAGAAAGUGGGGGAUCUUCGGACCUCACGCUAUCAGAUGAGCCUAGGUCGGAUUAGCUAGUUGGUGGGGUAAAGGCCUACCAAGGCGACGAUCCGUAACUGGUCUGAGAGGAUGAUCAGUCACACUGGAACUGAGACACGGUCCAGACUCCUACGGGAGGCAGCAGUGGGGAAUAUUGGACGAUGGGCGAAAGCCUGAUCCAGCCAUGCCGCGUGUGUGAAGAAGGUCUUCGGAUUGUAAAGCACUUUAAGUUGGGAGGAAGGGCAGUAAGUUAAUACCUUGCUGUUUUGACGUUACCAACAGAAUAAGCACCGGCUAACUUCGUG